UCAGACUGUGCCUCUUGGCCACACAGGAUGGUGCUCAAUUGAGCUGGGGAGUGGGUGAGUCAGCUUCAUGCUGGGGCAGUCCAGGCAGAGCUGAGGUGAGCCAUCCUGGGCUGGCACUAGAGCCUAAUUCAGAUCAUCAUUUAGCAAAUGUGCUGCCUCCCCCACGCCCUCCGCUGCAGAGCCUCCUACGUCUCUGGCCUUCAGGGGGGUCUGAGAGAGAGAGCAAGAGAAGAGGG
rnacentral:lncRNA from 1 species